rnacentral:rRNA from 1 species
GCGCGAAAACUUUACAAUGCUGGCAACAGCGAUAAGGGAACCUCGAGUGCCAGGUUACAAAUCUGGCUGUCGAGAUGCCUAAAAAGCAUUUCAUAGCAAGGGCCGGGCAAGACCGGUGCCAGCCGCCGCGGUAACACCGGCGGCUCGAGUGGUAACCGUUAUUAUUGGGUCUAAAGGGUCUGUAGCCGGCCGGAUAAGUCUCUUGAGAAAUCUGGCAGCUUAACUGUCAGGCUUUCAGGAGAUACUGUCUGGCUCGAGGCCGGGAGAGGUGAGAGGUACUUCAGGGGUAGGGUGAAAUCUUGUAAUCCUUGAAGGACCACCAGUGGCGAAGGCGUCUCACCAGAACGGACCUGACGGCAAGGGACGAAAGCUAGGGGCACGAACCGGAUUAGAAACCCCG